GAGUUUGAUCGUGGCUCAGGACGAACGCUGGCGGCGUGCUUAACACAUGCAAGUCGAACGGGGUGCCUAUGAAAGAGAUUUCGGUCAAUGGAUUAGGUUACUUAGUGGCGGACGGGUGAGUAACGCGUGAGGAACCUGCCUUUCAGAGGGGACAACAGCUGGAAACGGCUGCUAAUACCGCAUGACACAUAUUUAUCGCAUGGUAGAUAUGUCAAAGAUUUAUCGCUGAGGGAUGGCCUCGCGUCUGAUUAGCUAGUUGGUAGGGUAACGGCCUACCAAGGCGACGAUCAGUAGCCGGACUGAGAGGUUGGCCGGCCACAUUGGGACUGAGAUACGGCCCAGACUCCUACGGGAGGCAGCAGUGGGGAAUAUUGGGCAAUGGGCGCAAGCCUGACCCAGCAACGCCGCGUGAAGGAGAAGGCUUUCGGGUUGUAAACUUCUUUUAAGAGGGAAGAGCAGAAGACGGUACUCUUGAUAAGCCAGGCUAACUACGUGCCAGCAGCCGCCGUAAG
rnacentral:rRNA from 1 species